UUGUACUGAUUGGAAAAACAGGUUUUACUAGUGAUGAAAAAUUAACCAAUCGUAGGCAAUCAAAAUAAUUUAAUUAUCUUUAGCCUAUGACAGUGUACUACUCACAUCUGAGUAGCUCGACAAGCAAUCGCGUGAGUUUUCACAGACUGUAGUACAGGGUAAUACAGGAUGUGCACAGGCUAGGUUGACGUAUAUUUUUGUAUAAGCUGUAGAUAGAAAUAGAAAUCUUGUUGAAAUCUUUUAAGCACUAUAAAGAUAGACUUUGUGUUAACAUCACAAUGAAAUGCAUUUAAUUUCAUAUAAUAUUUUUUGGAUCAAUUAUAAUUGUUUUGUGUAUUAAAUAAUUGUUAAUGUCUGGCCGGCAUAAUUAUUUAAAAUAGUACAAUUAUCAUGUACAGUUAGUUCAAUCUGUCUGUUCGUGGUUGUUAGAAGCAGGACAAAAUUACCCUACAUAUGAUGUGUAGAAAUGUAACAAGAUAAAAUAUAUUUCAGCUUGAUAAUUGUGGACCAUUAUUAAUUGAAACCAAGGCAAGAGCCAGAUUCAUUUGAGUGAAAAAGCCUUGGUCUGGUCAUGGGCGUACCGGAAGGAAAAAAUUAGGGGGGCGGAAAGAAAAUUGCCCGACUUUUCGGGAUUCUUCCCGACUAGUACCAAAAAAUUUUUUCCGGAAAAAUUAUUUUGGCGACCCCCCCCCCCCGUCGCCAAAAAAAUUUCGGUCAGUGUACCAUUUUAGGGGUCAAAAAAAUUUUCCGGACAACCAAUAUUUUUCG